rnacentral:SRP_RNA from 1 species
CAACGAUUACCCGGCAUGCUUGCAUGCUAUCUGGUCAGGCCCGGAAGGGAGCAGCCACAGCGGGAACAUUGUGUGCCGGGGUGUGGCUGGUGGGG